UACGUAGGGUGCGAGCGUUGUCCGGAAUUAUUGGGCGUAAAGGGCUCGUAGGCGGUUUGUCGCGUCGGGAGUGAAAUCCACUGGCUUAACUGGUGGCUUGCUUUCGAUACGGGCAGACUGGAGGUAUGCAGGGGAGAACGGAAUUCCUGGUGUAGCGGUGAAAUGCGCAGAUAUCAGGAGGAACACCGGUGGCGAAGGCGGUUCUCUGGGCAUGUCCUGACGCUGAGGAGCGGAAAGUGUGGGGAGCGAACAGG
rnacentral:rRNA from 1 species